rnacentral:rRNA from 1 species
UACGUAGGGUGCAAGCGUUAAUCGGAAUUACUGGGCGUAAAGCGUGCGCAGGCGGCUAUGCAAGACAGAUGUGAAAUCCCCGGGCUCAACCUGGGAACUGCAUUUGUGACUGCAUGGCUAGAGUACGGUAGAGGGGGAUGGAAUUCCGCGUGUAGCAGUGAAACGCGUAGAUAUGCGGAGGAACACCGAUGGCGAAGGCAAUCCCCUGGGCCUGCACUGACGCUCAUGCACGAAAGCGUGGGGAGCAAACAGG